rnacentral:rRNA from 1 species
UGAUCCUGGCUCAGAACGAACGCUGGCGGCAGGUCUAACACAUGCAAGUCGAGCGCGCCUUCGGGUGAGCGGCGGACGGGUUAGUAACGCGUGGGAACGUGCCCUUCUCUACGGAAUAGCCUCUGGAAACGGAGAGUAAUACCGUAUACGCCCUUUGGGGGAAAGAUUUAUCGGAGAAGGAUCGGCCCGCGUUAGAUUAGGUAGUUGGUGGGGUAACGGCCUACCAAGCCUACGAUCUAUAGCUGGUUUUAGAGGAUGAUCAGCAACACUGGGACUGAGACACGGCCCAGACUCCUACGGGAGGCAGCAGUGGGGAAUCUUAGACAAUGGGGGCAACCCUGAUCUAGCCAUGCCGCGUGAGUGAUGAAGGCCUUAGGGUCGUAAAACUCUUUCGCCUGUGAUGAUAAUGACAGUAGCAGGUAAAGAAACCCCGGCUAACUCCGUGCCAGCAGCCGCGGUAAUACGGAGGGGGUUAGCGUUGUUCGGAAUCACUGGGCGUAAAGCGCGCGUAGGCGGAUUAGAAAGUUGGGGGUGAAAUCCCGGGGCUCAACCCCGGAACUGCCUCCAAAACUGCUAGUCUAGAGUUCGAGAGAGGUGAGUGGAAUUCCGAGUGUAGAGGUGAAAUUCGUAGAUAUUCGGAGGAACACCAGUGGCGAAGGCGGCUCACUGGCUCGAUACUGACGCUGAGGUGCGAAAGUGUGGGGAGCAAACAGGAUUAGAUACCCUGGUAGU